rnacentral:ncRNA from 2 species
UCAUAAAUACAGGUGUCCGGAAGCCCGACAGGGCGUCGGGGAAGACGGUGAGAAACCGUCGUGGUCCCGCCGCUGUAAGUGGGGACGAAAGCCGCAAAAAGCCACUGCCGAAUUCAAGUCCGGCGGGAAGGCGCGGCCGGUAGAUUGAUCCAUAAGCCAGAAGACCCGACCGGACAUAUAUUUCAAAG